CCGCUCAGAGGUAAACGGGUGGAGUUGAACUGCGAACCCUGAGAAUUCAACUGGUGAGUGUGGUAUGAGCUUGGCAUGAAGGUUGGCUCUGCGGGUCUGCUUAGCUGCAGGUCUUCGCCUUUUGGUGGAGAUGCGCGAUACACUUGUCAAGUGGUGCGCGCUCGUUGAGUUUCUCGGACAUACUUGCCAGUGCACUUUCUCGGGGUGUUCACCACGACCGGCGCCGCUACUUGUCCAAUAUGGUUAAACCGGUCUUGCUUGGUCCCUGUGGCUUUGCUUGAUCGGGAUGGCAGGUAACUCGUUGACUUGUGUGUUGACCUCGGUUGGCAUGCGCUUGGUUUUCGAGUGUAAUCAGCUGACUGUAUUGGUGCUAUGUGGUGCGUCGGAGACGGCGGCUUGUGGUGUGUGCCUGCGUGCCUAUUUGCUGACGGAACCGGGUUUGGUUAUUAUGUUGCCUGUUUUGCAGGCCUGGUGAUGGCUCGGUUUCGCUUGGUGGAUGGGAGCGUGGGUGACACUUAUCAGGGCCUAUAGUCUGUGGUGUUGUGGUAGACUAUCCACCUGACCCGUCUUGAAACACGGACCAAGGAGAGUAACAUGUGCGCGAGUCAUGGGGUGUUACGAAACCCAAAGGCGAAGUGAAAGUAAAGACUUGACUUGUUCGAGUUGAGGUGAGAUCCUGUCGUUUCUCAUGCGCGGUACUUCCAAGCAUUCGAGCGAUGGGCGCAUCACCGGCCCGUCCCAUGGUGUGGUCACUGUCUUCGGAUUGGUGCGUCACCGGGGCGGAGCAUGAGCGCACAUGUUGAGACCCGAAAGAUGGUGAACUAUGCUUGCGCAGGUUGAAGCCAGAGGAAACUCUGGUGGAGGACCGUAGCGAUUCUGACGUGCAAAUCGAUCGUCAAACGUGAGUAUAGGGGCGAAAGAC
rnacentral:rRNA from 1 species